rnacentral:rRNA from 1 species
GGAAUAUUGGACAAUGGGCGCAAGCCUGAUCCAGCCAUGCCGCGUGAGUGAUGAAGGCCCUAGGGUUGUAAAGCUCUUUCACCGGUGAAGAUAAUGACGGUAACCGGAGAAGAAGCCCCGGCUAACUUCGUGCCAGCAGCCGCGGUGAUACGAAGGGGGCUAGCGUUGUUCGGAUUUACUGGGCGUAAAGCGCACGUAGGCGGACUUUUAAGUCAGGGGUGAAAUCCCGGGGCUCAACCCCGGAACUGCCUUUGAUACUGGAAGUCUUGAGUAUGGUAGAGGUGAGUGGAAUUCCGAGUGUAGAGGUGAAAUUCGUAGAUAUUCGGAGGAACACCAGUGGCGAAGGCGGCUCACUGGACCAUUACUGACGCUGAGGUGCGAAAGCGUGGGGAGCAAACAGG